AGAGUUUGAUCCUGGCUCAGAAUCAACGCUGGCGGCGUGCCUAACACAUGCAAGUCGAACGAGAAAGUGGAGCAAUCCAUGAGUAAAGUGGCGACCGGGUGAGUAACACGUGACUAACCUACCCUAGAGUGGGGAAUAACCUCGGGAAACCGGGGCUAAUACCGCAUAACAUCAUCGGGUGUAAAUUUCUGAUGAUCAAAGGAGCAAUUCGCUCAAGGAGGGGGUCGCGGCUGAUUAGUUAGUUGGUGAGGUAACGGCUCACCAAGACUUAGAUCAGUAGCCGGCCUGAGAGGGCGCACGGCCACACUGGAACUGAAACACGGUCCAGACUCCUACGGGAGGCAGCAGUGGGGAAUUUUGCGCAAUGGGGGAAACCCUGACGCAGCAACGCCGCGUGGAGGAUGAAGUCCCUUGGGAUGUAAACUCCUUUCGAUCGGGACGAUAAUGACGGUACCGAAAGAAGAAGCACCGGCUAACUCUGUGCCAGCAGCCGCGGUAAU
rnacentral:rRNA from 1 species